rnacentral:rRNA from 1 species
AACGAACGCUGGCGGCAGGCUUAACACAUGCAAGUCGAGCGAGACCAUCGGGUCUAGUGGCGGUCGGGUGAGUAACGCGUGGGAACGUGCCCUUAUCCACCGAAUACUCCUGGGACACUGGGAGUAAUACAGUAAACGUUAUUCGAGGGACAGAUUCAUCGGAGAAGGAUAGGCCGGCGUUGUAUUAGGUAGUUGGUAGGGAAAGGGCCCAUCACGCCUUCGCUACAUAGCUGGUUUGAGAGGAUGCGAAGCCACACUCGGACGGAGACACGGCCCAGACUCCUAGAGGAUGCAGCAGUGGGUAAUCUAAGACUAUCGGGGCAACGCUGAUCGAGCCAUGCCUCGUGAGUGAUGUAGUCCUUAGAGUUGUAAAGCACUUUCAGCUGGGAAUAUAAUGACGGUACCAACAGAAGAAGCCCCGGCUAACUCCGUG